AUGGAGCGGGAAUCACAUGCUUUGAUGAUGAACCGCCACAAAUUUCCGCAUAUAUCUUCCUUCGCUGAUCACCCGCUAGAUGACCUAGCCGCCUCUCCCCCGCACCCGCGCCCUCAACCCCCGUCCUCCCGCAUCCCAGCCCCGCUCGCCCUUGCCCUCUCCCCGACCUCUCCCUCCACCAGACCUCGCAGCCCCGCCCACUUCGCCGCCACCAACGCCCCGCAGACCUCGCCGCCGCCGACGCCCCUCAGACCGCGCCGCCGUGGACCUCUCUCCUCGUCUCCCUCGCACCACGCCGCCCGCAGCCUCGACCUCUCGUCAUCAGAAGGGAAGGGAAGAGAAGAGGGAGAAGUGCUUGUGCUCUGCCUGCUCCGCGCCCACGCAAUGGCCUGCUCGGGAUGCCGCCCUCCCCCCUGCUCCAACCCUAAUCCCCUCCCCUCCCCUCACGCUGUUGCUGCUUUUGGUCACGCAGGCACGAGCCCUCAUGGCUCCUCCCUCCUCCUACCCCCCACCCCCCUGAACCUGGUGAGCUCCACCCCCUCUUCCUACCCCUGCACAUCUAUCUUAUCUAGCCAAUUCUCUGAUUUAGCUAGGGUUGGGAUCUUUCUCAAGGAUUGUAGUGAGCUUUCAGGAAGAGGUGAAUGCAGCAGGACAUGUGCCUUUUGGAUUGGUCUGAACAUAGAAGACAAAACAGAGAAGAGAGACUACAUGUUCUUGCAAGAUGCAGUCAUGCUGCUGACAGAAACAAUUUUAUCUCAAGGUGCAAGUGGCAGUGGCCGUCUCACCUCGCUCCUCACAGAAACCUCCCGGUACUAUGCCCUGUCGCCAAACCACUUAAAUGUUGCGAAAUUGUUGUUCAAAAACUUAUCUAAAGGCCAACAUGAAUCAUCAAGACUGUCAAUUGAAACUGGACCAUACCCUUUGCAGGUGAAGCUGUAUUUCAAGAUAGCAGAGCAAUUGAUGAGAAAUUCUUACGAGAACAUCCAGUUCUUUGAGCAAACACACACAUACGCGGAUACAGACACUGGCAUACACAUAUUUUUAUAUGAAUUCACACGCACGAAGCACAUGGUUGGUUCUUAUGAUCCUCCGCGCCUACACGAAAAGGGCUCGAGCGAGAAGACGAUGGAUGACAUCUAUGUAUCAGACGACGAGCUCCACGUUCCGUUCUUGCCUCAGAGCACAACCGAACAUCAGAAGACACCUCCUCCGAAGUUGGACAAGUCAAGCAAGCGAGCUGGGAAACAGGCUGUCUGCGGCGUUCGCAAAGAUUUAUUUGGAAAAUGCAAACCGACUGCAAGGGGUAAAAAGGGCCAUUGGGCAAGGCUAUUUCGGUCAUCCUCCUGUAUGAUACACAGGUCAAACCAGGAUUCACACUCUCCCGCCGAUAUUUCCCUUUGCUUCCGUGAAUACAUAUCGUCUUCUCGGCACGGCGGCGCCACCUUGGAUCAGCCCUAUGUCGCGCCUCUUUGGUCGUCCCUACACGUCUCAGCUCCAGCAACCAGGUCGCGAUGGCUGACGAUGAGCUCCAGGUUCAUGGCUCGCCGGGUUCCGCUGGCUCCACUAACAACUGUUUGCGAGCACUUGCACAGAAGGGGGGAUCAUGGCCCUGUUUCGCCUCCACGAGGCUCCGCCAGUUUCCCCAUGACCUUAUGUUUUCUGUUCUCUGGUACUGUAGGAAAUCUAGCGAGCAGGAUCCCGCACAAAACAGUUCUUGACAGCCUCCUAGCACACCUUGGGUUAUCACCGGCUCAGUACAAGCGCGUUGUUCAUGAGGAGGGCAAAAUCCGUGUAACCGUCUUUUACAACACCUCUACGAUUGACCUUGGGGGACCAAUCAGCGACACUUCUGUGCCAGGACUUUAUUGCACAGACGAUGAGGCUGCCGAGGAUACCGCUGCGAUAAAGGCUAAUGCAGUUGCCAUGGACUACUCUGUUGGAGAUCUUCCUGAUAUAAUGAAAGACACAAGUUCGUGUGAGGCAGUCCCUGUGAAGUACAUCGACAAGGCAGAUGAAUUACGCCACUUAUUAGUAUGUUUAGUGAUGAUGGCUCCGUAG
rnacentral:rRNA from 1 species